rnacentral:tRNA from 1 species
GCAGUGAUGGCCGAGUGGUUAAGGCGUCUGACUAGAUAUCAGAUGGGAUCUUCCCGCGUAGGUUCGAAUCCUACUCACUGCG